AUUGGAUAUUUUAAUAUGAUGAGUAUUCUAGGUAGAGAAUAUGGAUAGUAUUACCAUUAUUAGUAUUACGUCAACAUUAACUCAACAAUUGUAUUGUUGACAUGAAGAAAAAGCUAUUUCGAGGUUGUUUUGACCAUUGAUUGCUAAUAACACCUGGCGCCGUGACCUGGAUGCAGAUUCUAAGCAGAUGGGCCAAAAUGGGGGCAGCUAGAGAGACUCGCCUGGAACUGACAAGCCUGGAGGGAGCUGGUUGACUGUUGGCGAGAUGGGACAACAGACGAAGAAUAAACGAACCUACUUGAUUUGAUUAACAUUUUUUUUCGUCGGAAGACAUUUCCCACCAACCAUCCUGUCUUGAAAGAAAUAACUUUUGAACCCGAUUAUCUGGUAAUACUAUUUUUAGCUCAUCUAUUUUUUGAAAAAAAUUAUGAGCUAUUGUCAUCACCUUGGCGUCGGCGUCGGCGUCCGGUUAAGUUUUGUGUUUAGGUCCACUUUUCUCAGAAAGUAUCAAUGCUAUUGCAUUCAAACUUGGUACACUUACUUACUAUCAUGAGGGGACUGGGCAGGCAAAGUUAGAUAACUCUGGCGUGCAUUUUGACUGAAUUAUGUGCCCUUUUUAUACUUAGAAAAUUGAAAAUUUUGGUUAAGUUUUGUGUUAAGGUCCAUUUUAUUCCUUAAGUAUCAAAGCUAUUGCUUUCAUACUUGCAGCACUUACUAACUACCGUAAGGGGACUGUGCAGGCAAAGUUAUGUAACUCUGACUGGCAUUUGGACGGAAUUAUGGGCCCUUUAUACUUAGAAAAUUGAAAGUUUGGUUAAGUUUUGUGUUUUGGUCCACUUUACCCCUAAAGUAUCAUAGAUAUUGCUUUCAUACUUGGAACACUCGCAAACUAUCAUAAGGGUACAGUAAAAGGACAAGUUGCAUAACUGGAUGUCAUUUUUAUGGAAUUAUGGCCCUUUUUUGACUUAGUAACUUUGAAUAUAUGGUUAAAUUUUGUGUUUCGAUCCACUUUACUUCUUAAGUAUCAAGGCUAUUGCUUUCAAACUUCAAAUACUUUCAUGCUAUCAUGAGGUUACUGUACCUGGCAAGUUGAAUUUUACCUUGACCUUUGAAUGACCUUGACUCUCAAGGUCAAAUUAUUAAAUUUCUCUAAAAUUGCCAUAACUUCUUUAUUUAUGAUUAGAUUUGAUUGAUAGAUUGAAACUACUCUUACCUGACAUACCACAAUAGACUCCACCCAAACCAUC